GACAGAGGAUGCAAACGUUGUUCGGAAUUACUGGGCGUAAAGCGCGUGUAGGCGGCCCUGCAAGUCGGGUGUGAAAUCCCACGGCUCAACCGUGGAAGUGCACUCGAAACUGCAGGGCUAGAGUCCUGGAGAGGAAGGUGGAAUGCUUGGUGUAGAGGUGAAAUUCGUAGAUAUCAAGCGGAACACCGGUGGCGAAGGCGGCUCACUGGCCCGGUACUGACGCUGAGGUGCGAAAGCGUGGGGAGCAAACAGG
rnacentral:rRNA from 1 species